GAUGAACGCUGGCGGCGUGCCUAAUACAUGCAAGUCGAGCGAACGGACGAGAAGCUUGCUUCUCUGAUGUUAGCGGCGGACGGGUGAGUAACACGUGGAUAACCUACCUAUAAGACUGGGAUAACUUCGGGAAACCGGAGCUAAUGCCGGAUGAUAUUUUGAACCGCAUGGUUCAAAAGUGAAAGACGGUCUUGCUGUCACUUAUAGAUGGAUCCGCGCUGCAUUAGCUAGUUGGUAAGGUAACGGCUUACCAAGGCAACGAUGCAUAGCCGACCUGAGAGGGUGAGCGGCCAGAGUGGAACGGGGACAGGGUACAGACGCCGCCGGGAGGGCGCAGUAGGGAAUGUUCCACAAUGGGCGAAAGCGUGACAUAGCAAGGCCGCGUGAGAGAUGAUGGUUUUCGGAUCGUAAAACUCUGUUAUUAGGAACGAACAAAUGAGUAAGGAACUGGGCAGAGCUUGACGGUACGUAAUAAGAAAGACACGGCUAACUACGCG
rnacentral:rRNA from 1 species